UGCACAGUCCUAUUUUUUAAUUCGAGUGUC
rnacentral:piRNA from 1 species